rnacentral:tRNA from 1 species
GGAAAGGUGGGUGAGCGGUUGAAACCAGGUCGGUGCUAACGAUCCAGGGGAGUCAAAUCCCCUCGAGGGUUCGAAUCCCUCCCUUUCCG